UUUGCUUCUAUGACGUUAGCGGCGGACGGGUGAGUAACACGUGGGCAACCUGCCUGUAAGACUGGGAUAACUCCGGGAAACCGGAGCUAAUACCGGAUAACAUUUUCUCUUGCAUAAGAGAAAAUUGAAAGAUGGUUUCGGCUAUCACUUACAGAUGGGCCCGCGGUGCAUUAGCUAGUUGGUGAGGUAACGGCUCACCAAGGCAACGAUGCAUAGCCGACCUGAGAGGGUGAUCGGCCACACUGGGACUGAGACACGGCCCAGACUCCUACGGGAGGCAGCAGUAGGGAAUCUUCCGCAAUGGACGAAAGUCUGACGGAGCAACGCCGCGUGAGUGAUGAAGGCUUUCGGGUCGUAAAACNCUGUUGUUAGGGAAGAACAAGUACAAGAGUAACUGCUUGUACCUGACGGUACCUAACCANAAACCNGGCUAAC
rnacentral:rRNA from 1 species